rnacentral:misc_RNA from 1 species
GUGAAUCAUCGAAUCUUUGAACGCAAAUUGCACUCUCUUCGGAGAGUAUGCCUGUUUGAGGAUCAGCCUAAAAAAAAACCGCCAUGUUCGCUGUUUCGCGUUGACUUUCUUCGGAAAUUGGGUCAUCUUAAACCUUGGGGUUUUAAGCGGCUUAAAAUUUUUUUUACGUUUCAACGACCGUUUCAAAAAUUUACUUCUUCCACUUUUAAGGUAAUCGAUCUUUAUUAGACUUGGCCUUUGAUUC